rnacentral:snoRNA from 1 species
CUGCAGCCAGUUAAACUGACCAGGUUUCUUUCCUGAUGGUGGCUGGCCCGGUAUGCCAUGGCAGCACACAGCAGCCUCCUUAGUAGUGUACCAGGUGGCCCUAAGGGACCUUGGAGGCAUUC